CACUCUAGAGAGACUGCCAGGGAUAACCUGGAGGAAGGUGGGGAUGACGUCAAAUCAUCAUGCCCCUUAUGCUUAGGGCUACACACGUGCUACAAUGGGUAGUACAGAGGGUUGCCAAGCCGUAAGGCGGAGCUAAUCCCUUAAAGCUACUCUCAGUUCGGAUUGUAGGCUGAAACUCGCCUACAUGAAGCUGGCGUUACUAGUAAUCGCAGAUCAGAAUGCUGCGGUGAAUGCGUUCCCGGGUCUUGUACACACCGCCCGUCACACCACGGGAGUUGGAGACGCCCGAAGCCGAUUAUCUAACCUUUUGGAAGAAGUCGUCGAAGGUGGAAUUAAUAACUGGGGUGAAGUCGUAACAAGGUAGCCGUAUCGGAAGGUGCGGCUGGAUCACCUCCUUUCUAAGGAGA
rnacentral:rRNA from 1 species